CACACACAAAGCUAUUCGCCAGAGUACUACUAGCAACAGCCUAAAACUCAAAGGACUUGGCGGUGCUUUACAUCCCUCUAGAGGAGCCUGUUCCAUAAUCGAUAAACCCCGAUAAACCCCACCAUCCCUUGCUAAUUCAGCCUAUAUACCGCCAUCUUCAGCAAACA
rnacentral:rRNA from 1 species